rnacentral:tRNA from 1 species
GCAUCGGUGAUUCAGUGGUAGAAUGCUCGCCUGCCCCGCGGGCAGACCGGGUUCGAUUCCCGAUCGAUGCA